rnacentral:tRNA from 1 species
CGCAGGCAGGGCAACUGAUAAGCCGCGUGGCUCAUAACCACGAAAGGUCGGGUUCGAUUCCCGGGCCUGCAACCA